rnacentral:pre_miRNA from 1 species
UACCACUAGCAGAUGAAGCUGCCAGCAUGAUCUGAGCUUUCGUUAAUUAUCCUAUACAUAUGGAUAUAUCCAGAGGAGAGAUUAGAUCAUGUGGCUGCUUCACCUGUUGAUGGU